AGCGAACUGGCGCAGCGGAAGCGCGUUGGGCCCAUAACCCAAAGGUCACACGAUCGAAACGUGUGUUCGCUA